rnacentral:rRNA from 1 species
AGAGUUUGAUCAUGGCUCAGGACGAACGCUGGCGGCGUGCCUAACACAUGCAAGUCGAGCGGGGAACUUCGGUUCUCAGCGGCGGACGGGUGAGUAACACGUGGGUAACCUGCCUUGUAGAGGGGGAUAGCCUUCCGAAAGGAAGAUUAAUACCGCAUAACAUUAUGCUUUCGCAUGAGAGUAUAAUCAAAGGAGCAAUCCGCUACAAGAUGGACCCGCGGCGCAUUAGCUAGUUGGUGAGGUAACGGCUCACCAAGGCGACGAUGCGUAGCCGGCCUGAGAGGGUGAACGGCCACAUUGGAACUGAGACACGGUCCAGACUCCUACGGGAGGCAGCAGUGGGGAAUAUUGCACAAUGGGCGAAAGCCUGAUGCAGCAACGCCGCGUGAGUGAUGAAGGCCUUCGGGUUGUAAAGCUCUGUCUUCUGGGACGAUAAUGACGGUACCAGAGGAGGAAGCCACGGCUAACUACGUGCCAGCAGCCGCGGUAAUACGUAGGUGGCAAGCGUUGUCCGGAUUUACUGGGCGUAAAGGAUGCGUAGGCGGAUGCUUAAGUCAGAUGUGAAAAUCCCGGGCUUAACUUGGGAACUGCAUUUGAAACUGGGUAUCUAGAGUGCGGGAGAGGAGAGUGGAAUUCCUAGUGUAGCGGUGAAAUGCGUAGAGAUUAGGAAGAACACCAGUGGCGAAGGCGACUCUCUGGACCGUAACUGACGCUGAGGCAUGAAAGCGUGGGGAGCAAACAGGAUUAGAUACCCUGGUAGUCCACGCCGUAAACUAUGAAUACUAUGUGUGGGAGUUGUCAUGACUUCCGUGCCGCAGUUAACACAAUAAGUAUUCCGCCUGGGGAGUACGGUCGCAAGAUUAAAACUCAAAUGAAUUGACGGAAUCUCAAAUGAAUUGACGGAAUCGU